GAUGAACGCUAGCUACAGGCUUAACACAUGCAGGUCGAGGGGCAGCAUGGUCUUAGCUUGCUAAGGCCGAUGGCGACCGGCGCACGGGUGAGUAACACGUAUCCAACCUGCCGUCUACUCUUGGACAGCCUUCUGAAAGGAAGAUUAAUACAAGAUGGCAUCAUGAGUCCACAUGUUCACAUGAUUAAAGGUAUUCCGGUAGACGAUGGGGAUGCGUUCCAUUAGAUAGUAGGCGGGGUAACGGCCCACCUAGUCUUCGAUGGAUAGGGGUUCUGAGAGGAAGGUCCCCCACAUUGGAACUGAGACACGGUCCAAACUCCUACGGGAGGCAGCAGUGAGGAAUAUUGGUCAAUGGGCGAGAGCCUGAACCAGCCAAGUAGCGUGAAGGAUGACUGCCCUAUGGGUUGUAAACUUCUUUUAUAAAGGAAUAAAGUCGGGUAUGGAUACCCGUUUGCAUGUACUUUAUGAAUAAGGAUCGGCUAACUCCGUGCCAGCAGCCGCGGUAAUACGGAGGAUCCGAGCGUUAUCCGGAUUUAUUGGGUUUAAAGGGAGCGUAGAUGGAUGUUUAAGUCAGUUGUGAAAGUUUGCGGCUCAACCGUAAAAUUGCAGUUGAUACUGGAUAUCUUGAGUGCAGUUGAGGCAGGCGGAAUUCGUGGUGUAGCGGUGAAAUGCUUAGAUAUCACGAAGAACUCCGAUUGCGAAGGCAGCCUGCUAAGCUGCAACUGACAUUGAGGCUCGAAAGUGUGGGUAUCAAACAGGAUUAGAUACCCUGGUAGUCCACACGGUAAACGAUGAAUACUCGCUGUUUGCGAUAUACAGCAAGCGGCCAAGCGAAAGCGUUAAGUAUUCCACCUGGGGAGUACGCCGGCAACGGUGAAACUCAAAGGAAUUGACGGGGGCCCGCACAAGCGGAGGAACAUGUGGUUUAAUUCGAUGAUACGCGAGGAACCUUACCCGGGCUUAAAUUGCAGAUGAAUUACGGUGAAAGCCGUAAGCCGCAAGGCAUCUGUGAAGGUGCUGCAUGGUUGUCGUCAGCUCGUGCCGUGAGGUGUCGGCUUAAGUGCCAUAACGAGCGCAACCCUUGUUGUCAGUUACUAACAGGUUCCGCUGAGGACUCUGACAAGACUGCCAUCGUAAGAUGUGAGGAAGGUGGGGAUGACGUCAAAUCAGCACGGCCCUUACGUCCGGGGCUACACACGUGUUACAAUGGGGGGUACAGAGGGCCGCUACCACGCGAGUGGAUGCCAAUCCCAAAAACCUCUCUCAGUUCGGACUGGAGUCUGCAACCCGACUCCACGAAGCUGGAUUCGCUAGUAAUCGCGCAUCAGCCACGGCGCGGUGAAUACGUUCCCGGGCCU
rnacentral:rRNA from 1 species